UCCAUUCUAAGUCAAAAUCUCCAUUAAUAUUUCAUUUUCGAAAGAUAAAAUCUCCCUUGAAACGGAAUCGCCUUUGCAAGACAAAAUCUCCUACAAAGAUUUUUGACAUAAAAUUCUAGAAUACAUCAAAAACAGUUCAAGGUUAAAUUUAUACUUUGUCUGAGUUUGUGCAAAAAUCUCCAGCAAAGCAGCAUUUUAGAAGGAUAACGUCAAUGGAAAAAUAUUCCUCAUCAAAUUUCACUAUAGAUCAACAAAGAAAAGAAAUCCCUAUAUACAUUAUAUACCAAAAAAAUCUUUGCAUCAAUGUUGUCAAGAAAAAAAAACGCGAAAAUAUUUCCAUAUUUCAUUUUUUGGUUAAGUUCCUCAGCCAUUUUUUCGAGUUGAUGCAUGAAAUUGAAAUAAAACUUCGUUUUAGACAAAAAGUCAUAAAAGAGGAAAUAUUCUACACCAUAUACCUCGGUUUAAUAGUUUUCGAGAAAAUUGCGUUCGAAAUUUAUACAUGCAGGGUGAGUAAAAAAAACUGCAACAAAUUCAACGCCGUAAUUUUUACUUAUUUUCUUAAUUUUUUUAAUUUUUUUUUUUUUUUUGAAUGAAAGCAAAAAAUGUCGGAUAUAACAUCAAAUUUUAGAAUAAGUUUAGAUUUGUUCGGAUUGGUCACCUUUGGCACGAAUUAUGGUCUUCAAACGACUGUUGCUCGGCGGUAUUUUGGCCCAAUCCCGGCGAAGCACUUGCUUGCGGUGAUCGACACUUUGGUAUUUUUUAGUGCUAACCUUGCUUUCCAAAAUACUCCAGACACAAUAGUCCAAAGCAUUGGUAUCCGGAGAUUUUGGUGGCCAUUGUGUGCUGGAAAUGAAGAGAGGAAGCUUAUUUUGUAACCCUUCUUGAGCGGCGCAUGUUGAGUGCGAUGGUGCUGAGUCCUAAUGGAAUGUCCAAGGUCUGCGGGCAAAAUAUUUGCGUGUCCAAGGCUUUAAUACACCCUCCAGAAUAUUUUCGCGACAAUAUUCGGCAUUUAUUCGGGUGCUAAGGUCGAUUAAUACGAGCGGAGAGCGACCUCUUUUUUUCAAAAACUAUUAUACCUAGCUUUAUAGUUUAUUCUGAGACUUAUAGUGAAAUUUGGUGUAGAUUAUUUCCUCUUUUAAAGCUUUGUGUCUAAAACAAUGUUUUAUUACUCUUUCAUGCAACGACUUGAAAUAAAGAGGAAGAAACAACCAGAAAAUAUUUAAAUUUUUGUCGUGUUAUUUGAUAAAAUUUAAACAAAUAUUUCUUUGGUAUAGAAUAGAAAUUGGGAUUCCUUUUCUUUGGUGACUUAUAGUGAAAUUCAAUGAAGAACAUAUUCGUCUUUGGCGUCAUCAUUCUAAGAUGAUGUUUAACAAGAGAAUUUUGCAUAAUCUCACAUGAAGUACGGUUUAAACCCCUAAAAUGUGUUCCAGAAAUAAUAGGAAAUAUUUUCCCGUUUUUCUUGAUAUAUGGAAUGAAAAUAGGGACUUCCUUUCUUUGGUGACUUCGAUGAAAGAAAAUUUUUGAAAUUCGAUGCAGAAUAUUUUUGUUUUUGGCGUCAUCCUUCAAAAAUCAUGGUUUAGAAGAGAAUUUUGCAUAAACUCACAUGAGGUACAACUUUAACCCUAAAAUGUGUUUUUAUACCCCCACCUUGAAAAGGAGGGUAUAUUAAGUUUGUCAUUCCCUUUGUAACAACUCCAAAUAUACAUUUUAGACCCCACAAAGUGUAUAUAUUCUUGAUCAGCAUAAAAUUCUAUGUCGAUUUAGCGUUGUCCGUCCAUCUAUCCGUCUGUCCGUCUGUGGAAAUCACUCUAGCUUCCGAACGAAUUGAAGUAGAUUUAUAAAAUUCUCAAAUAUAUAUUAUAUCUGCAGGACUUUUGGUAUUUAGUAAUGGGCCAUGUAGGUCCACGUUUUGGUAUAGCCCCCAUAUAACGAUACCUUCCCAUAUUCGGUAUUUUGAUCACUUAAGCGACAUUAUUCGCCGGAAUUGUUUCUAAUUUGGUAUUUGAUUUUCGUAGUGUAUUGUCUGUGCAUGUCCAAACCUUCGUAUAGUCCCCUUAUAAUGGUACCUCCCGAUAUUCGGUAUUUGUAUUAUUCUAGCGACAAUAUUCACCCAAAUUGUUUCAAAUUUGGCAUUUGAAGUUCGAAAUGGAUACUACAGCCUAAGGCAGAAAAUCCCUCAUAUAAUGGUACCUCCCGAUAUUCGGUACUUUGAUGAUUUUAGCGACAUUAUUCAUCGGAAUUGUUAUUAAUUUGGUAUUUGAAGUUCGCAAUAGAUACUACAGCCUAUGACAGGACAUUGUCUAUGCAGGUCCACCUCUUCGUGGAGCCCCCAUAUAACGGUACCUCUCGAUUUUCUGUAUUUUGAUGAUUUUAGCGACAUUAUCCACCGGAAUUCUUUCAAUUUUGGUAUCUGAAGUUCGCAAUGGAUAGUACAGCCUAAGACAGAAAAUUGUCUGCGCAGGUCCACGUCUUCGUAUAGCCCCAUAUAACGGUACCUCCCGAUAUUCGGCAUUUUCUCAUUUGAAUAUUGUAAUGGCUUAUGCCAAAAGUUACCUAUCCAGGCCCAUGUCGUCGUAAAGACCCUAAUAUAACAGCUACAUUCGGUAUUUUUAAGAUUUGAACAGAAUUUUUAACGAAUUUUAUUGUUUUUGAGAAUUGCCAAAUUCGUUCCAAAUGGUGGAGGGUAGCGUUUAGAUAACAUUCAUACUUUUGAUAUAUUUUGGCACCUAUAAUGAGAUUUGAUGACAAACAAUUUCGUAGAUUAUUUUGACUUGUUACCGUUUAAUAGAAGUUCUUAACUUUUUUUUUUUUUUUGAAAAAAUAAUUAAAAAUGCCUCUAAUACUUGUAUUGUUGCCAGUAAAAAACUAAAGGCCCUAUUUAUCUAAAAUAUAAGGAUUUCGCGAAAUCUUUAUCCGAAAAUUUCAAAAAAUGUGGAAGAGGAGGGAGAUUUUUACCACCCCUCUAUUUGGCUUAUUAUGCAAUGUAAAAUUUUGAAACUACAUAUCGAACAAAAAAAUGGAAUCGAAAUCGACAUUUGUCGAAAAGUUAAAAUCGUAUCUUAGCUAAUUGAAGGCAAAAAUCGAAAAGUCGACAUUUUUUGAAGACAAAAAUUGAAAUUUCGACUUUUUUGUUGGAAUUCUCCCUUUGAGAGUAUUUUUUGUGCGCAUCAGCUGGCCAUACGCACAGACGGAACGGGACUGAUGGCCAUGGCUACCUUGACCCCCCAUUUUAAUAUGUAGAAAAUUUUUUUUAUCAAAUUGUUUGCUGGGUUAUUUUAAUUCUGUUAUGAUAUUAUGGGGCACUGGGCUCUUGGAACCAUGCAAUAAGGGAUUUACACCAACUUACCACAAAUGGUGUAGGGUAAUGAAAACAUGGUAAAAAACAAAGUUUUAACACAAAAAUGCAAAAUCCAAAAACAACAACAGCAACAACAACCAAA